UGAUUUUAAUAUAUAUCAAGAUGAAACGUCGCACGUUUUUACAAAAAUUGUCGGUCCAUUGCGCCUUUGAGCUUUGGUGACUAAAAGAUAGGAAUGAAGAGCCAGAAAUGACACGGUUUAGUUAAAGGGAGGCCAAUUAACAGCUAAAGAACAUUCGGAUGGAGUAAUUAAGUUGUUGGAAGAAAAAUUAAAGCAGCAAAUUAAAUGCAAGGUAGACGUUGUUCUCAUGCAAGUCGUUUUUGGAAAUCUAUGGAAGUGUGUGCCCCAAGUAGGUAAAGAAGGGAUCCAAUUUUCAGGGUGAUGAGGGCGUUGUGUCAAAGUUUCCACCCUCCAUUAAUUGGCCUUUGUUUCAUUUGUUGGGGUUUUCUUCUCUACCUCACUUGUACAAUCUCCUUCCCU
rnacentral:lncRNA from 1 species